rnacentral:rRNA from 1 species
GACGAACGCUGGCGGCGUGCUUAACACAUGCAAGUCGAACGGUGAAGCGCCUUCCUUUUUGGUGGGUGUGGAUGAGUGGCGAACGGGUGAGUAACACGUGAGUAACCUGCCCCCUUCUUCUGGAUAACCGCAUGAAAGUGUGGCUAAUACGGGAUAUUCUGGGUCUGUCGCAUGAUGGGUCUGGGAAAGAUAUUGUUUCGGUGGGGGAUGGGCUCGCGGCCUAUCAGCUUGUUGGUGGGGUGAGGGCCUACCAAGGCGGUGACGGGUAGCCGGCCUGAGAGGGUGGACGGUCACACUGGGACUGAGACACGGCCCAGACUCCUACGGGAGGCAGCAGUGGGGAAUAUUGCACAAUGGGCGCAAGCCUGAUGCAGCGACGCCGCGUGAGGGAUGGAGGCCUUCGGGUUGUGAACCUCUUUCGCCAGUGAAGCAGGCCUGCCUCGUUUGUGGGUGGGUUGACGGUAGCUGGAUAAGAAGCGCCGGCUAACUACGUG